CCCUUAGAUGUCCUGGGCCGCACGCGUGCUACACUGACGCCUACAGCGAGCACCUUCCAGCCCCGAGAGGCGGCUGGUAAUCAGCAAUAGGCGUCGUGAUGGGGAUAGAUCUUUGGAAUUAUGGAUCUUGAACGAGGAAUGCCUAGUAAGCGCAGGUCAUUAGCCUGCGCUGAUUAAGUCCCUGCCCUUUGUACACACCGCCCGUCGCUCCUACCGAUUUCGAGUGGUCCGGUGAAUCUUUCGGACUGCGCGCGGCCUUGAGUCGUGUCGCGGAAAGUCAGGUAAACCUUAUCACUUAGAGGAAGGAGAAGUCGUAACA
rnacentral:rRNA from 1 species